rnacentral:rRNA from 1 species
GACGAACGCUGGCGGCGUGCUUAACACAUGCAAGUCGAGCGGUAAGGCCCUUUCGGGGGUACACGAGCGGCGAACGGGUGAGUAACACGUGGGUGACCUGCCCUCAGCUCUGGGAUAAGCCUGGGAAACCGGGUCUAAUACCGGAUAUGACUCCAUGACGCAUGUUGUGGGGUGGAAAGCCUUGUGCGGCUGAGGAUGGGCCCGCGGCCUAUCGGCUUGUUGGUGGGGUGAUGGCCACCAAGGCGACGACGGGUAGCCGGCCUGAGAGGGCGACCGGCCACACUGGGACUGAGACACGGCCCAGACUCCUACGGGAGGCAGCAGUGGGGAAUCUUGCGCAAUGGGCGAAAGCCUGACGCAGCGACGCCGCGUGAGGGAUGACGGCCUCGGUUGUAA